ensembl:lncRNA
ACUGUUGUAAUUUUGUCAUCAUUAUAUAGUUUAUGUAUUAUAAUUGCAAAAUAAAAUUUAGCAACUCACAUAGUUAUCAUUCAUCACUGCUUAAAAAUGUAAGUUGAAAAAUAAACUCUUAAAGCAUGAAAUAAGAUACAGAAUCAGUAAAUUCGAUUUUAAUGUGGGUAUAUUAUCAGUGAACUAAUCAUUAAAUAUUUGUAAUCGUUCAUAAAAUAUUGGCCCCUUUCAUAAUGAUGUUGUUCAGAAAUGAAGGCCACAAUGCUAAUGUUGUCCACACGAUGGCGCCACAGGAUAGAAAAUACUUCAAUAUAUGUUCACAGAUUUUAAAAUGUUCCAUUUAUGUGCAUAAAUAUAAAAUGCAUAUACAUGCAUUCUAUUUUCAUAAACUUUAAUAAAGCCCAAUAUAGUAUUUAUGCAAAAACUGUAAUCCCCUAAGUACCAUUACGUUUUUUUUCUUAUUUUUAAUAGUAUUGACAACAUAUUUCUCAAGUUAUCACACAUAAAGUGAAGAAAAGAAACUAUAUUACUAACCUAUUUUCAUAUCUAUUUUCACCUUGACUUAAACCACAUUGUUUCUUUUACCUUCUGUGUUGUUGCCUACAACACUUCAGUUAGAGGACUGGGAAAUAGCAAACAGGGGAAAAAGGCAUGACUUAUUUUGCAUACAGCUAGCCAAACCUGUUUAAACUGUUGUCAUAGCCAAGGCUUUUUAUUGGAACAGAAAACAGCAAGGGUCCAUAGAAAAAUACUGUUGGAAGUUUUUUUUUUUUCCACCAAGGCAGCUCAAGGAGGUUGGACACACAAGUACAGUGGCUCUUUUGGGCCAAGCCAACAUCAAAGUUAGUUCACUAACUUUACAUUCUAGUUAUGUUGGCUUGGCACAAGCCAACAUACUGUUAUGCUAUUUAAACUUCUUAUUCUUAUGUUGGCUUGGCACAAGCCAACAUACUGUUAUGCUAUUUAAACUUAUUUUUAUUUUUAUUUUUAUUAUUAUUAUUCUUCUGAGACAGAAUUCCAAACGUAUCUCCUCCUAGGGCUUUUAAGCCACAAGCCCCAAACUCGGCAGACACCUGCGGGAUAUAGCGGUGCUGGUUGCUAUAUCUUUUUAGACUGAUCAGACUUACAGUUUAUUUAUUAUUAAUUUUUAUAAGUCAGAAAUUUCCCAUAGACUCCCAUUAUCUGAGAAAAAUUGCGCCUCUACAGGAGCAAUUCCCGGGACUGAGGGAGGAGUCUGCCUUAGUUUCACUUUUUAAAUCGGUUAAAAAAAAUACAUAUAAAUACAUGAAUUUAUUUCACUCUGACAAGCUAAACCAACAUAUUUGAAUAUUACAGGGGUCAGGGCUUAUUAAAAAUGUAUAUCUGGCCACAGAAGAGAGAGAAAGACGAGAGAGAAUUCACCGCUCCGUUCAGCGAGUGGUCUUACAACGGGCUCACAACAAACGAAUUUAUUCUUGUUUAAGACCUUUUAAAAAUAAAAUAUUACAGCGAUUGCACACAAUCCACCCAUUAGAACAAACCAAGAGCUAAAAGUGGGUGUUUUUCAGCUGUUGAAGUUUGAAAAUGAACGAUUUGCGUCAGCUCUUUUUGACAGCGCGAGACGGCGCGGCUUCUCCUGCACUCGCACUACGAGCUCACAAGAAACGAAUUUAUUCUUGUUUAAGACCUUAUAAAAAUAAAAUAUUACAGCGAUUGCACACAAUCCACCCAUUAGAACAAACCAAGAGCUAAAAGUGGGUGUUUUUCCGCUGUUGAAGUUUGAAAAUGAACGAUUUGCGUCAGCUCUUUUGACAGCGCGAGACGGCGCGGCUUCUCCUGCACUCGCACUACGAGCUCACAAGAAACGAAUUUAUUCUUAUUUAGGACCUUUUAAAAAUAAAAUAUUACAGCGAUUGCACACAAUCCACCCAUUAGAACAAACCAAGAGCUAAAAGUGGGUGUUUUUCAGCUGUUGAAGUGUGGAAAAUGAACGAUUUGCAUCAGCUCUUUUGACAGCGCGAGACGGCGCGGCUUCUCGUGCAGUGACACAACGAGCUCGCAAGAAACGAAUUUAUUCUUGUUUAAGACCUUUUAAAAAUAAAAUAUUACAGCGAUUGCACACAAUCCGCCCAAUAGAACAAACCAAGAGCUAAAAGAGGGUGUUUUUCAGCUGUUGAAGUGUGGAAAAUGAAGGAUUUGCGUCAUCUAUUUUGACAACGCGAGACCGCGCGGCUUCACAACGACCUCACAACAAACGACUUUAUUCCUGUUUAAGACCUUUUAAAAAUAAAAGAUUUCAGCGAUUGCACACAAUCCACCCAUUAGAACAAACCAAGAGCUAAAAGUGGGUGUUUUUCAGCUGUUGAAGUGUGGAAAAUGAAGGAUUUGCGUCAGCUCUUUUGACAGCGCGAGACGGCGCGGCUUCUCGUGCAGUGACACAACGAGCUCGCAAGAAACGAAUUUAUUCUUGUUUAAGACCUUUUAAAAAUAAAAUAUUACAGCGAUUGCACACAAUCAACCCAUUAGAACAAACCAAGAGCUAAAAGUGGGUGUUUUUCAGCUGUUGAAGUGUGGAAAAUGAAGGAUUUGCGUCAGCUAUUUUGACAAGGCGAGACCCCGCGGCUUCACAACGAUCUCACAACAAACGAGUUUAUUCCUGUUUAAGACCUUUUAAAAAUAAAAUAUUACAGCGAUUGCACACAAUCCACCCAUUAGAACACACCAUCGGCUAAAUGCAGAUUUUUGUGAGCUGGUAAAUGGUGAAAUUGAAUGAUUUGCAGCAGACUCUCUGACGGCUCGAGACUUCAACACUGGCAUGGGGAAAAAGGUCUACAUACUGAAACUACAGCCUUUUACAUUAAAACACUCCAGCGAAUCAGUACAAAACAAUUAGAAGAAUAUAUUAUAGAGAAAAUGAGUGCUGGUGAGAUAUUUUUGUCUUAGGGCAGAAAAAAAGACAUUGCAUCGAUCUCUCGAGUUACAGAGGACGCUGAUUCUGGCUUUUCGGUGCAAGACAAAUCAUUCGUCUUGACAGCUUUUUUUAUAUGUCUAUAUUUUGUAUUGUCAAUAAUAAAUAUUAUGAAAAAAAUAACUGUUGUAAUUUUGUCAUCAUUAUAUAGUUUAUGUAUUAUAAUUGCAAAAAAAUAAUUUAUCAACUCACAUAGUUAUCAUUCAUCACUACUUGAAAAAUGUAAGUUGAAAAAAAAUAAACUCUUAAAGCAUGAAAUAAGAUACAGAAUCAGUAAAUUCGAUUUUAAUGUGGGUAUAUUAUCAGUGAACUAAUCAUUAAACAUUUGUAAUCAUUCAAAAAAUAUUGGCCCC